rnacentral:tRNA from 1 species
UCUUCCUUGGUCUAGUGGUCAUGAUUUCCGCUUGUCAACCUGCAAAGGAACGAGCGCGGGAGACCGGGGUUCGAUUCCCCGAGGGAGAG